rnacentral:rRNA from 1 species
UAAUGUAUGGGGAUCUGCCCGAUAGAGGGGAAUAACUACUGGAAACGGUGGCUAAUACCGCAUAAUGUCUACGGACCAAAGCAGGGGCUCUUCGGACCUUGCACUAUCGGAUGAACCCAUAUGGGAUUAGCUAGUAGGUGGGGUAAAGGCUCACCUAGGCGACGAUCUCUAGCUGGGCUGAGAGGAUGAUCAGCCACACUGGGACUGAGACACGGCCCAG